UACGUAGGUGGCAAGCGUUGUCCGGAUUUACUGGGCGUAAAGAGCGCGCAGGCGGUCGAAUAAGUCGAAUGUGAAAGCCCCCGGCUUAACUGGGGAGGGUCAUUCGAUACUGCUCGACUUGAAGGCAGGAGAGGGUAGUGGAAUUCCCGGUGUAGUGGUGAAAUGCGUAGAUAUCGAGAGGAACCCCUGCGGCGAAGGCGGGUAGCUGGGCCGACACUGACGCUGAGGCGCGAAAGCCAGGGGAGCGAACGGG
rnacentral:rRNA from 1 species